rnacentral:antisense_RNA from 1 species
CAUGUCUCACCUUGAAUCUCCACCUAGUGACAACCACGAACUUGAGCGUGUGGUCCUUGCCCAGGAUCUCCUCGUUGCAUAAAAUGUCCAGCUGGGGGAUAAGGAGGUUUGAUUAGCAGCAGAGAGGUGCUCAACCCACACUGACAUGGCCACCUUGAUGCUGGCCCCAUCACACCCCGUCUACCACACCUGCCGUACUGAGCAACGGGAAGAGGUGGUUUGCGCCCCAUGAGCAGCCCUGACAGCUCCGGAAUCGGGCACCCUGGUUCCCCAGGUGGCACAGGU